rnacentral:tRNA from 2 species
GUGGGUAUGGCCUAGUUGGUUAGGGCGCCAGAUUGUGGCUCUGGAGGUCAUGGGUUCGAAUCCCAUUACCCACCCCA